rnacentral:piRNA from 1 species
UAGAAAUUAUUGUGGGAAGCACAAACAUUU